rnacentral:rRNA from 1 species
UACGAAGGGGGCUAGCGUUGCUCGGAAUUACUGGGCGUAAAGGGAGCGUAGGCGGACAGUUUAGUCAGAGGUGAAAGCCCAGGGCUCAACCCUGGAAUUGCCUUUGAUACUGACUGUCUUGAGUGUGGGAGAGGUGUGUGGAACUCCGAGUGUAGAGGUGAAAUUCGUAGAUAUUCGGAAGAACACCAGUGGCGAAGGCGACACACUGGCCCGA